UCAUACCUAUACAGUCAAGGGAUUAAAAGCCUACAUGGGAAUAACAAAUACCAAAUUCAGGAUGGAGAUUACCAACAGGGAGGGAGGGGAUCUAGGCAAAGCUAUAAUUGUACAUAUACAUACAGGGGAAAUGGACUAAGAGAUGACGGUGAGCUGCUAUCUUAGGGAGAGCUUCCUGGGAACCAGUCUUUGUGAAGUUAAUCAAGUAGAUCAAGAAGAAAAAUUAUACAUGAACUCUGCUACAAAAGGCCCUCACCAGAUGCAGCUGCUUGAUCUUGGACUUUCC